rnacentral:rRNA from 1 species
UACGUAGGGGGCGAGCGUUGUCCGGAGUUACUGGGCGUAAAGGGCAUGCAGGCGGUCGGACGCGUUUCGGGUGACAGCGGGUGGCUUAACUACCCGAGUGGUCGAAAGACGGUUUGACUUGUGGACGCGAGAGGGACACGGAAUUCCGGGUGGAGUGGUGAAAUGCGUAGAGAUCCGGAGGAACACCGAAGGCGAAGGCAGUGUCCUGGCGCGUAACUGACGCUGAGGUGCGAAAGCCAGGGGAGCGAACGGG